rnacentral:rRNA from 1 species
CCUACGGGUGGCAGCAGUGAGGAAUAUUGGUCAAUGGGCGGGAGCCUGAACCAGCCAUGCCGCGUGAAGGCGAGUGCCCUACGGGCGUUAAACUUCUUUUUUUCGGGAGCAAUAAGGACCACGCGUGGCCCGAUGAGAGUACCGCACGAAUAAGCAUCGGCUAACUCCGUGCCAGCCGCCGCGGUUAUACGGGGGAUGCGAGCGUUAUCCGGAUUUCUUGGGUUUAAAGGGGUCGUUGGCGGGGCUUCUGGGCAGCGGUGAAAUACCGGGGCUCAACCCCGGGGCAGCCGUUGAAACCGGAGCGCUAGAAUUCCGGUGCGGUAGGAGGAAUGUGUAGUGUAGCGGUGAAAUGCAUAGAUAUCGCACAGAACACCGAUUGCGAAGGCAUCUGACGAAUCG